GUCAUCUGAAAGGGAAUCAGGAGCAAGCACCAAGAAAUGAGUGAGCAGUCUCUCUCCAAAUGUUUUCUGUAGGCAAGGUUCAGCGAGUGCUGUAGCGAUUGUAGAGGCGCCCGAGGGAGACGGGCCAGCGGGCUGGCUAGAACGCCUUGCAACUAUGUUAAUGACUUUGGCCAAGUAACGUUUGAAGUUCAACUGAGCCAGAAUGGACAGAGAUGAGUGCUACUGAAGUGGAAAUGUCUUAAAUCCUGUUUUGUGAUUCCCCGCCUCAGAGCUGAGUCACCCCUGACCGGAAGAAAGGAUCCUUCAUCCCAAGGCUCACUCACUUCUAUCCAAGCCAUCUCAAGCUAAGGGCCAAAGAACCAAGGAACCCCUCCAGCGCCUGGACCUGAAGAUGAAGGGCUGUAACCCCAGCUUCUCAGGAGGACAAGGUGAGAGGAGUUCCAGGUCACUCUGAGAAAUCUAGAGACUCUCAAAAAAA
rnacentral:lncRNA from 1 species